rnacentral:rRNA from 1 species
GACGGAAGGUGCAAGCGUUGUUCGGAAUCACUGGGCGUAAAGGGUGCGUAGGCGGCCGUGCAAGUCUGGCGUGAAAGCCCCGGGCUCAGCCCGGGAAGUGCGCUCGAAACUGCGCGGCUCGAGUGCCGGAGGGGAGAGUGGAAUUCCUGGUGUAGCGGUGAAAUGCGCAGAUAUCAGGAGGAACACCGGUGGCGAAGGCGGGUCUCUGGGCCGAUACUGACGCUGAGGAGCGAAAGCGUGGGGAGCGAACAGG